CUACGGGAGGCUCCAGUGAGGAAUUUUGCGCAAUGGGGGAAACCCUGACGCAGCAACGCCGCGUGAGUGAUGAAGGCUUUCGGGUCGUAAAGCUCUGUCAAGUGGGAAGAAUCUGUUCGGCGCGAACACCGCCGGGCAAUGACGGUACCACUGAAGGAAGCACCGGCUAACUCCGUGCCAGCAGCCGCGGUAAUACGGGGGGUGCGAGCGUUAUUCGGAUUCAUUGGGCGUAAAGGGCGCGUAGGCGGCCUGCUAAGUCAGAUGUGAAAGCCCGGGGCUCAACCUCGGAAGUGCAUUUGAUACUAUCAGGCUUGAGUAUGGGAGAGGGAAGUGGAAUUCCUGGUGUAGAGGUGAAAUUCGUAGAUAUCAGGAGGAACACCGGUGGCGAAGGCGACUUCCUGGACCAAUACUGACGCUGAGGCGCGAAGGCGUGGGGAGCAAACAGGAUUAGAUACCCGCGUAGUC
rnacentral:rRNA from 1 species